GGACAGCCCAGAUCAGUAGGGAUAAGGCACUCAGCAGUGCUGUGGAGAGGAGUGGAGCUGGUGCCUGUUAUCGCAGCCGUGUACUUUGCAGGAGCUUUAAAUGCCACUGCUGGAGCACAAGAUUCAGAUGGCACGUGGAGGGAAGAGAGAAAAAUUAGGAGGAUCUUCAUUUCAAGCCCAUUGGAAGGAGUACAGUAGAGAGAACAUCGCCGUCUGACACAUCCUCAGUAACGUGUCACCCCUGCCUUGUGCUUUCGGGGACUGGCUCCGUCGGGCCUGCUGGUGUGGUCCUGCCAUGCCUCCGCCUUCCUCGUGCUCCCGUGCUUGCCCCGGUGUGGGGUUUUAAAAAAACAUCCAAAGACCCUCUUAUUUUGAUUCGAGAGCCAAUGCUGGAAAAAGUCAG
rnacentral:lncRNA from 1 species